GACAGAUGGCCAUGUGCUAAGUAUGUCCCUCAUGCCCUGUAGAGAAGGUGGGACCUCUGGUCUGAUCUUUAAGGCUCGUCUCUUGCCCUCUAAGGAAUGGGAUACCAUAAGGCUGGGAUUUAUCUCUAGAGCUGUGAUUUUUAAAAUCCAUUUCCCCACACUUCAGAAUUUUACUGCUUCAAAGAGGCUCAUGAAAUCCUUAAAAAAAAAAUACUUGUUAAGGAGGUUAAGUUUGUUUUAUUUAAUAGGUUAGAAGAAAUUGGGGUAGCACUUGAUACGGCAAGACAACAUCUGGAGGCUUUGGUGAUUAGUGUGACGUGUGAUGUGAGUCAGUGGGUGACCAUGUGUCUUGGUAAUACUGUGACUGGAGGAACAUGGGGUUGAGUUAUGGGGGGAGCAGGGGCUCCUCUCCGGGGCCUGACAUGCUGCUGUUGAGCAUAUUGUAUCUUAUCUUCACCACCUUGUGGCCACCCCAGUGUCACAGAGGGGUGUCUUAACAUCUUCAUUACAUUGAGUUCCCAGGGCCAGUGUCAGGCACCAGGAAGAUCAGAGGACAGGAAGAUGUGGGCUGGAGAGACAGCAAGCGGGCCCAGAGCAGCAGCACUGAGUGGCCAUUGCUGGCUGGAGCUGGGGCUGCCUGGUGUGUUUAGCAGGGCA
rnacentral:lncRNA from 1 species